UUCUUCGGGGCGGGGUGCAAUUCCCCACCGGCGGUGACAGUCCGCGACCCGCAUGUUCCAUGCGGCUGAUUUGGUGCAAUUCCAAAACCGACAGUAUAGUCUGGAUGGGAGAAGACA
rnacentral:ncRNA from 1 species